AGAUGUGACGGUAAUUUGGCUGUGACGUCUGUCCCCCCCAUUGAUUGCCAGGGUUGAUUCGGCUGUUCUGGCUGGCUAGGUGGGGGUCCCUUCCUCCCUUACUGCUCCAUGUGUAUCUCUCCCGAAGGUGCAUGCUUGUCCAAGGGGAUGAUCUUCCCCAAAUAGAGGAGGAUGGGUUUUCAGUCAAGGAUAUAUGUGUGGCUGCACUCCCCUGCCAGAACCUCCAAACAAGCUCUCAAAGGUUUGGGGUAGAAUGAUCAUAAUAUUACAAAUUAAAGCAGUAAAUUUCCUU
rnacentral:snRNA from 1 species